AACGAACGCUGGCGGCAGGCUUAACACAUGCAAGUCGAACGCGUGUAGCAAUACACGAGUGGCGCACGGGUGCGUAACGCGUGGGAACCUACCCUUUAGUACGGAAUAACUGAGGGAAACUUCAGCUAAUACCGUAUACGUCCUUCGGGAGAAAGAUUUAUCGCUAAAGGAUGGGCCCGCGUCAGAUUAGGUAGUUGGUAGGGUAACGGCCUACCAAGCCGACGAUCUGUAGCUGGUCUGAGAGGAUGAUCAGCCACACUGGGACUGAGACACGGCCCAGACUCCUACGGGAGGCAGCAGUGGGGAAUAUUGGACAAUGGGCGAAAGCCUGAUCCAGCCAUGCCGCGUGAGUGAAGAAGGCCUUCGGGUUGUAAAGCUCUUUCGGCGGGGACGAUGAUGACGGUACCCGCAUAAGAAGCCCCGGCUAACUUCGUGCCAGCCGCCGCCGUAAUAC
rnacentral:rRNA from 1 species